rnacentral:rRNA from 1 species
CCUACGGGAGGCUGCAGUGGGGAAUAUUGGACAAUGGGCGAAAGCCUGAUCCAGCCAUGCCGCGUGUGUGAAGAAGGCCUUCGGGUUGUAAAGCACUUUCAGUGGGGAAGAAAGCCUUGGGGCUAAUACCCUCGAGGAAGGACAUCACCCACAGAAGAAGCACCGGCUAACUCCGUGCCAGCAGCCGCGGUAAUACGGAGGGUGCGAGCGUUAAUCGGAAUUACUGGGCGUAAAGCGCGCGUAGGCGGUCUGAUAAGCCGGUUGUGAAAGCCCCGGGCUCAACCUGGGAACGGCAUCCGGAACUGUCAGGCUAGAGUGCAGGAGAGGAAGGUAGAAUUCCCGGUGUAGCGGUGAAAUGCGUAGAGAUCGGGAGGAAUACCAGUGGCGAAGGCGGCUUUCUGGACUGACACUGACGCUGAGGUGCGAAAGCGUGGGUAGCAAACAGGAUUAGAUACCCCUGUAGUC